rnacentral:tRNA from 1 species
GCAGUAGCUCAGUGGUAGAGCCCCGCUUCAAGUGCGGGGAGACCUGGGUUCGAUUCCCGGCUGC